rnacentral:rRNA from 1 species
UACGUAGGGUGCAAGCGUUAAUCGGAAUUACUGGGCGUAAAGCGCACGCAGGCGGUCAGAUCAGUCUGGAGUGACAGUCGUCGGCUUAACCGACGAAGUGUUCUGGAAACUGUCUGACUUGAGGGCUUCAGAGGGACACGGAAUUCCCGGGUGGAGUGGUGAAAUGCGUAGAUAUCCGGAGGAACACCAAUGGCGAAGGCAGUGUCCUGGGAAGUACCCGGACGCUCAGGUG